ensembl:lncRNA
GGGACAUCUCAGGCCCUCCAAGGUUUGGAGGCCUAUCUCCCCCUACCACCACUCCCCCUUUCAGUGGCGGACUCCCUCAGACAUCGGUGCGUUGGUGGUUCUUUGUGUCCGGGGAUGGGCGUCCAGGUACACACCGGCUCACUCCUUGGCGGCCGCUUAUCGGGGCCUGGAGCCUGGUGCUCGCUCGGGCCACUUCGGAGGUGGGGUGCCCCCGGCCUCUCGGCCUGGGGCUUGGUCACUCAGGCACGGCUGACUGCCGGCGGAGCUCACAGGCGCGUCACUGCAACUCCCCCUGGCUUCUGCUCCGCGGCUGCUGAGUGAGCCCUCAUCUGGGACUCUCCUCAGCUCUUUCUGGGACAGUGGCGCGGCUGCCCCUCUGUUGGUCUUCCUUGGUCUCUUGUGUUCUGGGGGCCUCUGGAUGUCUGGAGUUUUGAUCUCCUCCAUACCUGCUUCAUGCCCUGGAGGACAGGGCUGUGGCCCCCCCACACCCUCUAGCAGAUCAUUACAUGAAGGAACCUUUAAAAAAAAAAAAAAACAAGCGCGUCCAUGCUCACAGGUGUACACACGGGUGAUCACACCCACAAACUACACCCUUUUUGGCUCCUACCUCAAAGCACACUGUGUUCUGUUGAUCUUAUGUGCUGCACAAUGUUUAAUAUUUAGUAUUUACUGUCAUAUUCCCAUAUAUCAUUGUGAUGCUGUUUAUUCUAUUACUCUUGUUCUCUUCUGCUUGUUUUCUUUUUUCUUUCUCAGCAGGUGAUCCAGGUGAUUGAUAUAUGCAUUUUUUUAUUUCUUUUUUUUCCCCUGCUCAUUCUGUUGGUUUUUGCCCUUCUCCCCCGUCCCUCUUCUCAGCUGUUUCUCAUUCCCUCUUUCUUUCUCCCCUUCUUUCCCCCAGUCAAGUCUGUCCCGUAUUCAGUAAGUGAAAAUAAAAUAAACAAUAAAAGGUGAAUCAAAUGGACCAUUACGGCAAGGCUGGGAUGGUCAAUUUGGUAAAGUAAAUCCGUUGGGCAUCUUUCUUUGCCUUUAGACAACAAUUCUGAUGGCAAAAGAG